CUGUAAGAAAUUUCAAAGGCCUCUUUAACCUGGGGCCUGUUAUGCAAAGUCUGUAAAAACAAGCAGUUUCCAUGGUAGUACACACAGCCUGUGGCUUACCUGUGCUGUUCUAGAGGCCCUUGGAGACAGUC
ensembl:snoRNA SNORA70 Small nucleolar RNA SNORA70